ACAAGGAUGCAUCUAAAAGCUGCAGGACGGUAGCUCUCAAGGACUGGGAUUGGGCACCCCUGUGGUAGACUGACCAGCAAACAGACAGCCCUGGAGUGGUGCUGUUAAAGAAGCCAGUCAUUCAGUAUAUGGAUAAAAGGCUACCUACACUUUGCGCCUACGGGAGCUGCUGGGUCAUGGAAACCCAUGUCACAAAGCUCCCGGCACACACAGAAGCCGAGUUGUUGUGGAUUCCAAACACUUUGUGGAAUCUUGGAAUAUCUAGGAGGGAAGAAAUUGACUUCCUUUUUGUAUCCACUGAAGGGAGGUUUUGUGGGGAGACACACCCACCCUCUGGGAUGGCGGUCCAGCUCGUUGAGGACGGUGUGAUCGCAGUACUCGAAGACCAGGUGAAGCUUCCGUUUGCGUCGAAACACUUCGAUCAGAUUCACCAGGUU